rnacentral:rRNA from 1 species
CAGAACGAACGCUGGCGGCAGGCUUAACACAUGCAAGUCGAACGCACCGCAAGGUGAGUGGCAGACGGGUGAGUAACGCGUGGGAACCUUCCCUUUGGUACGGGAUAACUUCGGGAAACCGAAGCUAAUACCGUAUAAGUCCUUCGGGAGAAAAGAUUUUAUCGCCAAAGGAUGGGCCCGCGUUGGAUUAGCUAGUUGGUAGGGUAAUGGCCUACCAAGGCGACGAUCCAUAGCUGGUCUGAGAGGAUGAUCAGCCACACUGGGACUGAGACACGGCCCAGACUCCUACGGGAGGCAGCAGUGGGGAAUAUUGGACAAUGGGGGAAACCCUGAUCCAGCCAUGCCGCGUGAGUGAAGAAGGCCUUAGGGUUGUAAAGCUCUUUUGGCGGGGACGAUAAUGACGGUACCCGCAGAAUAAGCCCCGGCUAACUUCGUGCCAGCCGCGGC